rnacentral:rRNA from 1 species
CCUACGGGAGGCAGCAGUGGGGAAUAUUGCACAAUGGGCGCAAGCCUGAUGCAGCGACGCCGCGUGGGGGAUGACGGCCUUCGGGUUGUAAACUCCUUUCGCUAGGGACGAAGCCACUUGUGGUGACGGUACCUGGAGAAGAAGCACCGGCUAACUACGUGCCAGCAGCCGCGGUAAUACGUAGGGUGCGAGCGUUGUCCGGAAUUACUGGGCGUAAAGAGCUCGUAGGUGGUUUGUCGCGUCGUCUGUGAAAUCCCGGGGCUUAACUUCGGGCGUGCAGGCGAUACGGGCAUAACUUGAGUGCUGUAGGGGAGACUGGAAUUCCUGGUGUAGCGGUGAAAUGCGCAGAUAUCAGGAGGAACACCAAUGGCGAAGGCAGGUCUCUGGGCAGUAACUGACGCUGAGGAGCGAAAGCAUGGGUAGCGAACAGGAUUAGAUACCCUGGUAGUCCAUGCCGUAAACGGUGGGCGCUAGGUGUAGGGGUCUUCCACGACUUCUGUGCCGC